rnacentral:rRNA from 1 species
GACGAACGCUGGCGGCGUGCUUAACACAUGCAAGUCGAACGGAAAGGCCCUGCUUGCAGGGUGCUCGAGUGGCGAACGGGUGAGUAACACGUGGGUGAUCUGCCCCUUACUUUGGGAUAAGCCUGGGAAACUGGGUCUAAUACUGGAUAGGACCAUGCUGUAGGUGGUGUGGUGGAAAGAUUAGUUUCGGUAAGGGAUGAGCUCGCGGCCUAUCAGCUUGUUGGUGGGGUAAUGGCCUACCAAGGCGUCGACGGGUAGCCGGCCUGAGAGGGUGGACGGCCACAUUGGGACUGAGAUACGGCCCAGACUCCUACGGGAGGCAGCAGUGGGGAAUAUUGCACAAUGGGCGCAAGCCUGAUGCAGCGACGCCGCGUGGGGGAUGACGGCCUUCGGGUUGUAUACUCCUUUCAGCCAUGACGAAGCCCUUGUGGUGACGGUAGUGGUAGAAGAAGCACCGGCUAACUACGUG